UACAGAGGGUGCGAGCGUUGUUCGGAAUUAUUGGGCGUAAAGGGUGCGUAGGCGGGUCUUUAAGUCAGGGGUGAAAUCCUGGAGCUCAACUCCAGAACUGCCUUUGAUACUGAAGAUCUUGAGUUCGGGAGAGGUGAGUGGAACUGCGAGUGUAGAGGUGAAAUUCGUAGAUAUUCGCAAGAACACCAGUGGCGAAGGCGGCUCACUGGCCCGAUACUGACGCUGAGGCACGAAAGCGUGGGGAGCAAACAGG
rnacentral:rRNA from 1 species